rnacentral:rRNA from 1 species
AACGAACGCUGGCGGCAGGCCUAACACAUGCAAGUCGAGCGAACCUUCGGGUUAGCGGCGGACGGGUUAGUAACGCGUGGGAACGUGCCCUUCACUAAGGAAUAGCCACUGGAAACGGUGAGUAAUACCUUAUACGCCCUUCGGGGGAAAGAUUUAUCGGUGAAGGAUCGGCCCGCGUCUGAUUAGAUAGUUGGUGGGGUAACGGCCUACCAAGUCGACGAUCAGUAGCUGGUUUUAGAGGAUGAUCAGCAACACUGGGACUGAGACACGGCCCAGACUCCUACGGGAGGCAGCAGUGGGGAAUCUUAGACAAUGGGCGCAAGCCUGAUCUAGCCAUGCCGCGUGAGUGAUGAAGGCCUUAGGGUCGUAAAGCUCUUUCGCCAGGGAUGAUAAUGACAGUACCUGGUAAAGAAACCCCGGCUAACCCGGUGCCAGCCGCCGCGGUAA